rnacentral:rRNA from 1 species
GAUGAACGCUAGCUACAGGCUUAACACAUGCAAGUCGCGGGGCAGCAUGGGGGUUGCUUGCAAUCCCCGAUGGCGACCGGCGCACGGGUGAGUAACGCGUAUCCAACCUGCCCUUCACCACGGGAUAACCCGGCGUAAGUCGGACUAAUACCGUAUGUUGUCCAUUGACGGCAUCCGAUUUGGACGAAAGGUUUGGCGGUGAAGGAUGGGGAUGCGUCCGAUUAGCUGGACGGCGGGGUGACGGCCCACCGUGGCGACGAUCGGUAGGGGUUCUGAGAGGAAGGUCCCCCACACUGGAACUGAGACACGGUCCAGACUCCUACGGGAGGCAGCAGUGAGGAAUAUUGGUCAAUGGGCGUAAGCCUGAACCAGCCAAGUAGCGUGCAGGAUGACGGCCCUAUGGGUUGUAAACUGCUUUUAUGCGGGGAUAAAGUGGCCCACGUGUGGGUUUUUGCAGGUACCGCAUGAAUAAGGACCGGCUAAUUCCGUG